UAACUAGUAUCUAGAUAUUAAAGAGGUUAUCAAUGUAUGACAAAAAUAUAGUUAGUAAACUAACAUGUUUCACAUACUUUGUGUUAAAAUUCAUAGAAAGGCUGUCUUCUGAAAAGGAUGUUUGGAAGUAUAAUUGUAAAAUCACAUUUAAGUGACACAUGUAUAUCACAUUUGGCAAAGAGGAAGAGCCUGAGAGAAAUGAAGCAUUCUAGGUCAGAGUUCUCCUGUAUAGAAGACACUUUCAGAUGUAACCGUUGUUACAGGUGUGUAGUUUAUUCAGCACUACUGUGUACAGUGUAUAGUGGACAAAUGUGAGUCUGUGUUUUAAUAUCCAUUUUUUACACGCACAAAUUAUGUAGAAGAGGUAAACAACAUGCUUUGUAGAUAUCUUUUUGUUAAAAUUAAUAAUGAGAUACUCUCCUUAAGAAAUAAAGUGCUCAAACCACUGACCUGAGCAGUAGAUGUAUUUGUCCUACUCAGAGAGGAAGGAGGGAAAGAAAGUGCAAAGGGCUCUGUGUCAUGUGGAUGCCCAGCUGCAUAUGGCCUGGGGCUGCCACAGGAAUGCUGGCUCUAAGUUUGGUAAAGUAACUGCAGCACAGCCACUGGAGUUCCAAGCCUCCCGUCAGGUUUAGAGUGUUAUCGAAGUCAAAGGACAUCAGUUACUUACAGAGGAUGGAUAGCUGAAUUUGAAGCCCUCCUGCUAGACUUUCCAGAGCUUACUUUCAAGAUCUGCCAGAUUUUUAAUUCAGCAACCUUGUUUUCCACCCCAGGGAAAUGAGCUAUUCUAUUUCACUCCUGUGUGGAAACUAUAAAGCAAGCUUACUGGAGGAGACCUGAUGUUAAUGACCAGCUUUUAGAUAACCCUGAUGCAGAUGGCAAUCAGGUUAAUGGAAGCCAAACAGACAGCCAAGCUUUGACAGUUUCGUAACAACAUAUACCAGUGGUCUUGGUUGGGUAAAAACAGGAUGUUGUGAGAACAUGAUCUUAUAAAGCUUUACUUACAGGGACAAAGUUACUCAUUUUAUCUGUAUUAGAACAAAUAACAGAUGAAUGUUAUCAUUAUGUAUAUCUCAAAUGUACCAGUAAAGGGGCAGGGAUUUAGCUUAGUGGUGUAAGCGCUUGCCUGGCAAGCAUGAGGUCAUGCGUUUGAUCCCCUAUACCAAAACCAAACAGACAAACCAGUAAAUAAAUAAGUAAAUAAAAUAAAAUAAAAUGUACCAGUAAAAUAAAACAAAGAGAAUGAUUGUGUAACAAGUUUCACAGUACUUGACUCUUGACUUUGAGACAUAUGAAUAAAGAGGCUUGGAGCGUAUGUAAAGGAGAUUCCUUAAUAUUGAGGUUUCAAUUUGCAACCAUUUACUUAUGAAUGUUUCAGUUUUCUUUAUAGUGGAGUGAAAUAAGUCAGACACACAAGCUUAAAUACUAUGUGAUUUCUCACGUAUAAGAAACUCAAUGUACGUGCAAAAUAGAAGAUAGAUAAACAGGAAGUAGAGAGAUCUUUUUCAAGUGGAUGGGUAGACAAAGUAUGGAAGGAGGAGUGAAGCAAGGGAGGGAGAAGAGGAUGGGAAAAUAUGAAGGGAAAAAUGAGGAAAAUAGAACUUUUACAAAUGGGAAAGCGACCAGGAGUUAGAGGGAACGGAGAGGGAAGAAGAAGUAAGAUGUGUUAUGUGCAGGUACCAGCUUCCCACAAUAAAUGGAAUCAUUAUGUGCUGCUGACACGUACUAAGAAACAAGCGAAGAGAAAGAACUGUAGCAAAGAGAACAAAGAACAGCAGCCACUCGGAGAAGGAAGCCUGAAAGUGAACUGCUCAGAUCUGACAGCCUCCAGAUACAGACUCGCACAAGAGACUGCCGUGAGUUCCAUUCCUCGGACUGAAUCCUUCAGUCUUCCGUGUGCAGGCAUCCUCUGUACUCUUACUCAUCUGACUCUAGCAUACCUUCUCCUGCCUGGCACAGCAGCACUGGUCAGCUAGGGAGAAGAAAGGCAGAAGGAGUCUUCUGACCCUGCUGAGCUCACUGGGAACUCACUGAAAAGAUGGCACGAAAUGUGACAUUUCCUCUCCUGUUGCUGCUCGGGCUAUUUGCGAUACUGUGUCCACUGUGGGCUAUGGGUCCACAACCACCAGCGGGCUUCACUCCAGUGUCAUGGUUUCAAAAGCAGCACAUACUAGAGAAACCAAAGUCAUGUCAAGCAGCAAUGAAUGAUAUCAACCAGUUUCUUAAUGGUCUCUGUAAGAGGUCAAACACCUUCCUUCAUGUCUCUCUCCAAAAUGUGAAGGAUGUCUGUGCUUUGAAAGCGUUUCAGUGCAGGGAUAAAUCGACCACAUGCCACAGGAGUCCAGCUCCUGUUCAAAUGACUGUAUGCAAGAUCAUGAAAGAUACAAAUUCUUGCACCUAUAGAGAGAGUCACACGACCGAGCACUUCACUGUGCAGUGCAUGCAUAGGUUUAAUGACCCUAAGAUGGAGCUGCUUCCUGUUCACUUAGAAUAAUUUUGUAAACAUUUGAUCACUUUUCCCACAAUUUCUAGUACAGUUUAUUUUGCUUUUUCUUUUCAUUUGUUUUCUUUUUAAAAUUUCCUUGUCCCCACAAAAGAGAGUGAGUUUUUGGGAUUGUUAGAAUAACUAGGAUAUGGUACUAGAUAUGGAAUUGAAAAAAAUAUAUUUCUUUUCUGCUUUGGAGAUUUGACUGUGUGAGGCAAAGCAGAUAUGGAAAGGGAGUAAGAGAUUUAAACCCUUGAGACUUUUGCCAGAUUUAUACUGUAUUCACAGCAAUAAAACCACUUCCUACUGCA